GCAGCCCAGCCUCUUUCCCCAUCGUCUUCACCACCCUUGCCAAUUUUCCCCUCAAGUCCCCUGGGAACAGUCCAUUCUUUAUCAUUCCAAAUGUUUGUCUGGAAAAAUAUCCGACCCAACCAUUGCAGUGGCAUCCUGUUGUCAUCUUUGCCAUUAGCACUGGUACCUUUGAGACUGGUGACAAGCCACACCUCUACUGUCAGGUUGUCACAGGGCCCAGCCUCUCCACCUGCAGCUGCCACUGAUACUUCCCACGUUGGCAUCCAAGAAAUGGGCAGGUGCAAUAUUCUGGAGAAUCAAUGUCCCAUGCCUGCACCCUCACUGCUGAGGAGUUGAGGAAGCAUACAUUUCAGAUAGAGAUGGAAAGAUAGAGAGGAAAAGCUAAAAGAGGGUUAGCGUGGGAGCUGAGCAGAUGAUUUACAGAGUAUGACACAUGCAGUUUCACAAUCAUGUGUCUAGGUGGGGUUUUAGUUUUCUAUGUUCUGCUCUGGCUCUCUUGUGCUUCUUGAAUCUGAGGAUUCAUGUUUAUCAGUUCUGGAAAAUGUGCAUGCAUUUCCUCUGCUCUAGUGGCCAGACUCUCUCUCCCUUUGGGACUUCGGUGAUUUACGUAUUGGUCCUUCUAGCUCUUGCAUCAUCCCUCUCACUUUAUUCUGCCUCCUAUCUCUUUAUUUUCCCAUGCAUAUUCUGGGUAAUUUAUUAAAUCUAUUGCAUUCAUCUGCUAGGGCUCCUCCAACAAAGUACUACAGAUGGGGCAGUUUAAACAACAAAAAUUUGUUUUCCCACAGUUCUGGAGGCUGGAAGUCUGAGAUCAAGGUAUCGGCAGGACUGGUUCCUCUGGGGCCUCUCUCCUUGGCUUGUCUUCUUCCUGUCUUUACAUGAUUACCUCUCUGUGUGUGUCCUAAUCUCCUCUUAUUAUAAGGGCACUAGUCAUAUUGGAUUAAGGCCCCCCCAAGACCUCACUUUAAAUUAAUUACUCCUUUAAAGACCCUGUCUCCAAAUACAUUCACAUUCUGAGGUACUGGGGGUAAGACUUCAACAUGAAUUUUGGGGGGACACACUUCAUGGUGACUCAUGCCUGUAAACCCAACAGUUUGUGAGUUUGAGGCAGGAGGACUGCUUGAGCCCAGGAGUUCAAGACUAACCUAGGCAACAUAGUGAGAUCCCAUCUGUACAAAAAAAAUUUAAAAAUUAGCUGGGUGUGAUGGUGCGUGCCUGUACUCCCAGCUACUUGGGAAGCUGAGGUGGGAGGAUCACUUGAGCCUGGGAGGCUGAGGUUGCAGUGAGCCAUGAUUAUACUCCAGCCUGGGCAACAGAGUGAGACCCUGACACACACACACACACACACACACACACACACACAUCUUAUUUACACAAUCACAAUCUGGUUCUCAGAAUUUAGAUUUCUUCAUUUUGAAAUGUAUCUAACCCUUUCCUUUCUGUUUACUUUCAAGUCGUUUAGAUUAAGUGCUGAGAGGUGUAGCUCUUCCUAUACCUGGUAAAUGCUGACCCCCUGAACCCAGUCCCGAAGCCCCCAUCCACAUGCUAUGGGGACCACAUUGGGAGCCUGUGGUAUGAUUUUGCCUUUGUUUAUGCCAGACACCUUGGGUUGACCUGAGCUCACGCUCAGCAAAGGGACUAGAUGUUAACUUCUUUGCUUAGAAUUCCACGUGGUAUAAAUCUGGAUCCCUCAUACGCUUAAAGGACAAGCCUGGGGUCUGAUUAUUUAGGAAAACUUUUUCUACCCAGAAUCCGUGAUGUGCCCCUUCAAUGGGUGUCAUCCCCUCCCUGAGAGUCAGCCACAGCCAGCACCUCCUGGCCCUGGGCUGGAGGCACUGCACUGGCUUCCGGGGAGCAGCAGCUCUGCCAGCUUUGCCCACACCGCCUGUUUCUGACGUGUCCCCCACUCUGCAACAUGACACCCAGACCCCAUCACACUCUACAGCUGGGGUAUCACAGUGGAGUGGAGGCCCUCGCAGCACCCCCUCAGGAACCCAGAGGGUCCCCAGUUUGGAGACCGCUCAGGAAGUGGGUCCAGACCAGCACCUCUGGCUGGAAGAGCUGCGCCCAGCCUGGAUGAAAUAGAUACUCGUUUGAAUCUGUUCCACCAGGAAAAACUCGCUGUCUUCAAGGUGUCCAUCUGUCUUAGAUGUGGGGCUUCAGGCACAUCAGAUAACCUCUCAGGGCCUCCAGAAGCUCGCCUGGAAGGCUGCAAUGAUGGCUCCUGGGAGGGCGGGGACAGGUUUAAGUGGUGUGAUUCUGGGCCAGGCCUGCAGUUACUGCCCAUCAAAGGCAGGUCUUGCAGUGGCAUCCUGUUGUCAUCCUUGCCAUUAGCGCUGGUACUUUGAGACUGGUGACAAGCCACACCUCUACUGUCAGGUUGUCACAGGGCCCAGCCUCUCCACCUGCAGCUGCCACCGAUACUUCCCACGUUGGCAUCCAAGAAAUGGUCAGGUGCAAUAUUCUGGAGAAUCAAUGUCCCAUGCCUGCACCCUCGCUGCUAAGGAGUUGAGGAAGCAUACAUUUCAGAUAGAGAUGGAAAUGUAUCUCCCUACUGCACCCGGCAGUGCCUCAAGGUAUAGGCCCCUUG
rnacentral:lncRNA from 1 species